UAUAUAUGUAUAUAAAGUCUAGUGACACUGCUCCAUUUCUCCUGUUAUUAAUCUAGUCCAUGCACUCAUGAUUUCUACCUGGUCUUUACAAUACUUUCUGACAGUAUAGCCAGUCUGCACUGAGCUGGAGAGUAAAAUGUAAUGGUCCAGCACAUGGAACUCUGGAGAGCUCAUCUGCCUGGAUUGGAAUUCUUAAACUCCAGCUCUGACACCCAAUAGCUAUGUGUCCUUGGGCAAGUGACUUAAUUUCUCUGUGCUCAGGUACCUUCUCUGUAAAACAGGGAGAAAUAAGAGCACCUACCUCUUGAAGUUGUGAGGAUUAAAUGAGCCUUGAGCCAAACAUGUGAAGUGCAUGGAACAAUGCCUGGUGUACAGUAAAAACUGUCUAAGUAUUAGUCAUCAUUAUUAUUGUCAUCUGUCUCUCCACAUCCAGUUUUCCCCUUCCUGAAAAUGGUUUAUAUAUAUUUUACAAGCUUUAUUUUGAAAUAACUUUGGAUUUGCAAUAGAGUUGCAAAAAUGGUACAGAGUUUUCAUAUGCCCUUCAUUCAUCUUCCCUGAAUGUUAACAUCUUAUAGAACCAUGGUACAUCUAUCAAAACUAAGAAAUUAGUGUUAGUAUAAUACUAUUAACUGAACUACAGAAUUUAUUCAGAUUUCCCCAGGUUUUUUCCCACUAAUGUCUAUAUUUUGUUCCACAAUUUAAUCCAGGAUACAACAUUACAUUUAGUAGUGGAUUAUUUUCAGAUGCAAAUGGUCAAGUUGCAAUGCCCAGGAACAAUUUCUUGGCCUGCCAGACUCUGAGACCAGUGUCAAGUCCUCAACAAGGCCUAAGGGGCCCAUGCCUGCUUCCGCAGCCUCAUCUCACCCUGCUCUGAGGCUUCGAGGAGGAGCCACUGGGAUUUCCAAUCAUCCCCUGCUAUAGACUUUGCAUACUUGGGACCACUUUCGUGAUGGUUUAUAGUGCCUGAUUCACUCCCCAUUAGACUGUCAGCUCCUCCAGGGCAGGGAUCAUGUUGCUGUUGUUCUCUGCUAUAUCUCUAGCACCUAGAACAUGCCUGGUACCUGACAGGCUUGUAAUGAAAAUGUGUUGAUUAACUCACAUCCUGUGCCACUUUCUGCCAAUCACUUCCCCUCUCUGGACCUCAGUUUUCUCAUCUGCAGACUGAGGAGUUUAAUUUGUUCACUGGUUUUCCAGUUGUGUUUUGGAAACCCUAGAAUUUCCUGGGCUCAACAGGAGCCACAUUUAAAGAGCAUAUGUUUUCAUGUGCUUGAAAAUUGGGCUUCUGAGAAAGAUAUCUCUUAAUGGAUUUUGAAGAUUCUGCUGCUUAAAAAGGUUUGAAAACAUGACAGAUUAUUGUAUAUUAUGAAUUACAUAUAGUUGCAUGAUUUUACAACUCCAUUAUUAUUUAUUUAUUUAUUUAUUUUUGCAGGCAGUGGGGAGCCAUGGAAAGUUUCUGAACAGAGAAGCACUUAUUGGGAACUGUCAGAGCUAUGCUUCAGGAGAUGAAUCUGGCAACAACGUGGGUUAAUAUUAAUGCCCUGUACAUCCUGAGUACAUGUUUCCAGAAAGAGGUGAUCCAGGAGGCUGCCAAGUGGCCUGCAGGUGACAUCCAGAGGGCAGAAAAUGCCCAUGCAGGUCCAUGUGUGGGUCCUUAAGCCCCUUGAGGAAAAGGGAGGAGAAAAGGACAAAGAAGGCUCUCCCUUUACCUUGGAUCCCCUUCUGCUCCCACAUGCCUAGUGGGAGCCUCCCUCUUCUGCUUGAGCCUUCAGGACAGGUUCAGGACCCUGUCUCCUACCUGGCUGGGCCAGAAAUGAGGAACAUGUUGCAAGCCCUCCUCCACCUGACUUGCCAAGUCCAUACAGGCUGGGGCCUUAGAUCCAACAACUUAGAAAGGGUGCCCACACUCCUGUUCUUUAGAAGAAAGGGACGGCAGGAGUCUGAUCAUCUGUCUGAUGCCCACACAGUGGCUGUGCUGAGUGACGUGUUGUUUUGAGGAUGUCCCUACCCCCUGGUCUUGCCGUCGGUCUCCAGUACCCAGCGAAGCAAGCUGUGGGCUCUGAGGAGCUCACACCAGGGAGGAGCUGCCCUGGAGUGGAGCAACAGCCUGUCUUCUCCCCUGUGUGACUGCAGUGCUAUAAUAAUAAUAACAGAAAGCUGGCAUUUCUUGAGCUCUUACUGUGUGCCAGAGACACCGCUCUAAGUGCUUACACAUAUGUAUUCGUUUUCUGUAGCUGCUGUAACAAAUUAUCACAAACUUUAAACAUUGAACUUAUGGCAUAAAGCAACACAAAUGUAUUAUCGUGUAGCUCUGUGGUAGGUUAGGAGUCUGACACAAGUCUCACUGGGCUAACAAUCCAGAUGUUGGGGCCAGGCGCGGUGGCUCACGCCUGUAAUCCCAGCAUUUUGAGAGGCCGAGAGG